UCAGCAUGCCAGACAGUCGCUGUGCACAAUAUACGUGUAUGGAGGAAAGUCCGGGCUCCACAGAGCAGAAUGCCGGCUAACAGCCGGGCGUCGUGAGGCGACGGAAAGUGGAACAGAAAGCAUAACCGCCGAUGACUAUGGUUUACCGUAGCACAGGUAAGGGUGAAAUGGUGCGGUAAGAGCGCACCGUGCCGUUGGCAACAACGUGUAGCAGGCCAAACCCCAUUCGGAGCAAGACCAAACAGAAUGCGCUGACGUUGCUCGCUGAGCAUUCGGGUAGGUUGCUUGAGCGGCACAGUAAUGUGUCGCCUAGAUGAAUGACUGUCCCAGACAGAACCCGGCUUAUCGGUUGUCUGAUGUG
rfam:Snodgrassella alvi strain wkB12 wkB12_scaf004, whole genome shotgun sequence.